rnacentral:rRNA from 1 species
GAUGAACGCUAGCGGCAGGCUUAAUACAUGCAAGUCGAGGGGCAGCAUGGUGUAGCAAUACACUGAUGGCGACCGGCAAACGGGUGCGGAACACGUACAGAACCUUCCUUCGAGCGGGGAAUAGCCCAGAGAAAUUUGGAUUAAUACCCCAUAGUAUUAUGGAGUGGCAUCACUUUGUAAUUAAAGAUUUAUCACUUGAAGAUGGCUGUGCGGCUGAUUAGGUAGUUGGCGGGGUAACGGCCCACCAAGCCUGCGAUCAGUAACUGGUGUGAGAGCACGACCAGUCACACGGGCACUGAGACACGGGCCCGACUCCUACGGGAGGCAGCAGUAAGGAAUAUUGGGUCAAUGGACGAAAGUCUGAACCAGCCAUGCCGCGUGGAGGAUGAAGGUCCUCUGGAUUGUAAACUUCUUUUAUAUGGGACGAAAAAGGCCUUUACGUAGGUCGUCUGACGGUACCAUAUGAAUAAGCACCGGCUAACUCCGUUGCCAGCAGCCGCGG